rnacentral:rRNA from 1 species
AACGAACGCUGGCGGCGCGCCUAAUACAUGCAAGUCGAGCGAGAAGACGUAGCAAUACGUUUGUAAAGCGGCGAACGGGUGAGGAAUACAUGGGUAACCUACCCUCGAGUGGGGAAUAACUAGCCGAAAGGUUAGCUAAUACCGCGUACGCUCCUUGGACUUCGGUUCAGGGAGGAAAGCGAUACCGCGGGUAUCGCGCUCUUGGAUGGGCUCAUGUCCUAUCAGCUUGUUGGUGAGGAACGGCUCACCAAGGCUUCGACGGGUAGCUGGUCUGAGAGGACGAUCAGCCACACUGGCACUGCGACACGGGCCAGACUCCUACGGGAGGCAGCAGUAAGGAAUAUUGCGCAAUGGGCGAAAGCCUGACGCAGCGACGCCGCGUGGGGGAUGAAGGUCUUCGGAUUGUAAACCCC